GGCGGCCCCGCCGCCCGACAUGGCUGCCGUUGCCAUGGCGCUGCGGACGCGUCGGAAGCCGCCUCCCUCGCCCUCCGGCGCAGUGCGGCCGAGCCGCCGUCGCGGAGCGGGCUCCUUUCUCAGCUGAAGACCUCUUUGCUGAGAAUAAAAGGCUGUUUGUCCACACCACUCACCAUGGGAAUGCAUGAAGAAUCAAACAGCCCCAGAGCUACAAAAAGGAAAUGCUGGAAGCACCUCAAUUAAAAGUCACACAGAAGAGAGCUCUCUCUCUCUCUCUCAGGAAUCCCAAAACAUCCUGGCAAGCAAUCUGAAGAAAGAAGAAUGAAAGACUCCAAUCAGAGAGCAGAUCUAGAGACUGAGUAGAACCAACAGGAUUACUAAUUAUGGCUUUCCUAUCUAACUACUCAGUUCCAAUAACGAUCAUGAAAGAUAAAA